UUCGCCCUUAGAGUUUGAUCCUGGCUCAGAACGAACGCUGGCGGCAUGCCUAACACAUGCAAGUCGAACGAAGGCUUCGGCCUUAGUGGCGCACGGGUGCGUAACGCGUGGGAAUCUGCCCUUAGGUUCGGAAUAACAGCUGGAAACGGCUGCUAAUACCGGAUGAUAUCGCGAGAUCAAAGAUUUAUCGCCUGAGGAUGAGCCCGCGUUGGAUUAGGUAGUUGGCGGGGUAAAGGCCUACCAAGCCGACGAUCCAUAGCUGGUCUGAGAGGAUGAUCAGCCACACUGGGACUGAGACACGGCCCAGACUCCUACGGGAGGCAGCAGAAGGG
rnacentral:rRNA from 1 species